CAGCUGUGGAACAGAGGUGACUUGUCCCUGAUCACAUGCAAAGCUGAAGGCAGAGCUGGGAGUGUGACUCAGAUCUCUAGCACGCUCGGUGCACAGUUAGCGGUGAAACUCCGCAGCACAACAGUUUGAUGAGGCCGCGAUCUUGGAAAGAUACAAAAAGAGAUGGGCUGUUUCAGGUGGAUCACAAGGAAAUCCUGAAUUAUAAAGGAGAGAUCAGGAUGCCCGAGGAGCGAGGUGCCGGCCACGCCAGCGGGUUCAGCAGGAGGCACUGUUAGGCUUGGCUUUGACUGCUGAGAGAGG